CUGCCAUCAUUACUCAGAAAAAGAAUAUAACACAGAGGGCUCCCAUAGAUGUAUCCUGCUUACCUCUGUCUUAGGGAUCACUGCUGUGAUGUUGCAGCUCCUACAGAUAGCCUAAGAAACACAACAGGUGAGCACAGUGGACAAGUGUCAGUCAGGACCCAAGGGGAAAAACUGAAUGAGUAACACUAGUAUGUUAAGAAAACAGAAAAAUAGCUGUUAGAGGCAAACUCUGUUCCCACAAAGAAGCAUUCCUGGCUGGUAUGUAGUGAAAGUUCAGAUGUCAGAGGCUCUGAGACUUAAAAAACUGAACCAGGGAAUGGCUUUCCUUGGCAUUUUGUGAAUGCUGUCACAUCUUCAGUCAUAAAUAAAGAUGUUGUUUUUC
rnacentral:lncRNA from 1 species